GACGAACGCUGGCGGCGUGCUUAACACAUGCAAGUCGAACGGUGAACCAGGGCUUGCCCUGGGGAUCAGUGGCGAACGGGUGAGUAACACGUGGGCAACCUGCCCCUGACUCUGGGAUAACUCCUCGAAAGAGGUGCUAAUACCGGAUACGACCACUUCGGGCAUCCGAUGGUGGUGGAAAGAAUUUUGGUCAGGGAUGGGCCCGCGGCCUAUCAGCUUGUUGGUGGGGUAACGGCCCACCAAGGCGACGACGGGUAGCCGGCCUGAGAGGGCGACAGGCCACACGGGGACUGAGACACGGCCCAGACUCCUACGGGAGGCAGCAGUGGGGAAUAUUGCGCAAUGGGCGAAAGCCUGACGCAGCGACGCCGCGUGAGGGACGACGGCCUUCGGGUUGUAAACCUCUUUCAGCAGGGACGAAGCGCAAGUGACGGUACCUGCAGAAGAAGCACCGGCUAACUACGUGCCAGCCGCCGCCGUAACAC
rnacentral:rRNA from 1 species